rnacentral:rRNA from 1 species
AUUGAACGCUGGCGGCAUGCUUUACACAUGCAAGUCGAACGGCAGCGCGGGGCAACCUGGCGGCGAGUGGCGAACGGGUGAGUAAUAUAUCGGAACGUACCCAGAAGUGGGGGAUAACGUAGCGAAAGUUACGCUAAUACCGCAUACGAUCUACGGAUGAAAGUGGGGGACCUUCGGGCCUCAUGCUUUUGGAGCGGCCGAUAUCUGGUUAGCUAGUUGGUGAGGUAAAGGCUCACCAAGGCGACGAUCAGUAGCUGGUCUGAGAGGACGACCAGCCACACUGGACUGAGGCAAGGCCCAGACUCCUACGGGAGGCAGCAGUGGGGAAUUUUGGACAAUGGGCGCAAGCCUGAUCCAGCAAUGCCGCGUGAGUGAAGAAGGCCUUCGGGUUGUAAAGCUCUUUUGUCAGGGAAGAAACGGCCGAGGAUAAUACCUUCGGCUAAUGACGGUACCUGAAGAAUAAGCACCGGCUAACUACGUGCCAGCCGCCGCCGUAA